UGCCUCAGCGCGGCUGCUCUCUACCUCUUGGGGAGGAGCAGCGGAAGGGAUGCGGAUGUACUCAAGUCGGUUACCAGAGUGAACCAGUUGAAGGAUUUGGCUGUUCUACUGGACACUGCUUCCAAAGUCUUACCUCUGGUAGUCACUGUUUCUGGACGGGUUGGUUCCGAAACACCAAUUAAAUGUGAACACAGUGGUCUAAGAGGAGUGAUAGUUGAGGAAACAGCAGAACAACACUUUUUAAAGCAUAAUGAUGCUGGAUCCUGGAUACAAGAUUCUGCUUUGAUGCUUUCAAUGAGCAAGGAGGUUCCCUGGUAUGUGGAUGAUGGAACUGGGCGUGCAUAUGUUCUGGGGGCUCGAGGAGCUUCAGGUUUGGCAUUAACUGUUGCAAGUGAAGUUUUCGAAGAGUCGGGACGGUCUCUAGUGCGUGGAACACUAGACUAUCUGCAAGGUCUUAAGAUGCUUGGAGUA
rnacentral:misc_RNA from 1 species